GAAGCUCAAUUGGUAGAACGUCGGAUUCGCAAUCCAAGGUUGCGGGUUCAAUAGUAGCCACAGUUAGACUCCCGCAGCG